AUUGAACGCUGGCGGCAUGCCUUACACAUGCAAGUCGAACGGUAACGGGCCUUCGGGUGCCGACGAGUGGCGAACGGGUGAGUAAUGUAUCGGAACGUACCUUUCAGUGGGGGAUAACGUAGCGAAAGUUACGCUAAUACCGCAUAUUCUGUGAGCAGGAAAGCAGGGGAUCGCAAGACCUUGCGCUGAUUGAGCGGCCGAUAUCAGAUUAGCUAGUUGGUGAGGUAAAGGCUCACCAAGGCGACGAUCUGUAGCGGGUCUGAGAGGAUGAUCCGCCACACUGGAACUGAGACACGGUCCAGACUCCUACGGGAGGCAGCAGUGGGAAUUUUGGACAAUGGGGGCAACCCUGAUCCAGCCAUGCCGCGUGAGUGAAGAAGGCC
rnacentral:rRNA from 1 species